ACGAACGCUGGCGGCGUGCUUAACACAUGCAAGUCGAACGAUGAACCUCGAAAUGAUUUCUUCGGAAAGAUUUUUGAGAGGAUUAGUGGCGAACGGGUGAGUAACGCGUGAGCAACCUGCCUUAGACAAGGGGAUAGCCUCGGGAAACCGUGAUUAAUACCCUAUGAGACUCCACUUACGAGUGUAAGAGAAGUUAAAGCUAUUGCGGUCUAAGAUGGGCUCGCGUCUGAUUAGCUAGUUGGUGAGAUAAAAGCCCACCAAGGCGACGAUCAGUAACCGGCUUGAGAGAGUGAACGGUCACAUUGGAACUGAGACACGGUCCAAACUCCUACGGGAGGCAGCAGUGGGGAAUAUUGCACAAUGGGGGCAACCCUGAUGCAGCGACGCCGCGUGAGCGAUGAAGGAAUUCGUUUCGUAAAGCUCUGUCCUUGGAGAAGAUAAUGACGGUAACCAAGGAGGAAGCACCGGCUAAAUACGUG
rnacentral:rRNA from 1 species